rnacentral:rRNA from 1 species
AGUGGCGGACGGGUGAGUAACGCGUGAGAAUCUGCCUAAAGGACCGGGACAACCACUGGAAACGGUGGCUAAUACCGGAUGUGCUUUGAGAGUGAAAGGGGAAACUCGCCUUUAGAGGAGCUCGCGUCUGAUUAGCUAGUUGGUAGGGUAAAAGCCUACCAAGGCGACAAUCAGUAGCUGGUCUGAGAGGAUGACCAGCCACACUGGGACUGAGACACGGCCCAGACUCCUACGGGAGGCAGCAGUGGGGAAUUUUCCGCAAUGGGCGAAAGCCUGACGGAGCAAGACCGUGUGAGGGAGGAAGGCUCUUGGGUCGUAAACCUCUUUUGUCAGGGAAGAACACAAUGACGGUACCUGACGAAUCAGCCUCGGCUAACUCCGUGCCAGCAGCCGCGGUAAUACGGAGGAGGCAAGCGUUAUCCGGAAUUAUUGGGCGUAAAGCGUCCGUAGGUGGCUCUCUCAAGUCUGCGGUCAGAGACCGGGGCUCAACCCUGGAAAGGCCGUGGAAACUGGUGAGCUAGAGUGCGGUAGGGGCAGAGGGAAUUCCCAGUGUAGCGGUGAAAUGCGUAGAGAUUGGGAAGAACACCGGUGGCGAAAGCGCUCUGCUGGGCCGCAACUGACACUAAUGGACGAAAGCUAGGGGAGCGAAUGGGAUUAGAUACCCCAGUAGUCCUAGCCGUAAACGAUGGAUACUAGGCGUGGCUCGUAUCGACCCGAGCUGUGCCGUAGCUAACGCGUUAAGUAUCCCGCCUGGGGAGUACGCACGCAAGUGUGAAACUCAAAGGAAUUGACGGGGGCCCGCACAUGCGGUGGAGUAUGUGGUUUAAUUCGAUGCAACGCAAAAACCUUACCAGGGCUUGACAUGUCCGGAACCCCACCGAAA